AACCAAUGGUGAGGGCAUGUUCUCAAUAGGUCAUUGUAUCUCUCCCAUGCAUCAUAGAAUGUCUCUAGAUCCGUCUACUCAAAAGAAGAGAUAUCAUUCCUCAACUU
rfam:Gossypium arboreum cultivar AKA8401 contig_69615_1, whole genome shotgun sequence.